AGGAUACUACGUCAUGGCUAUAGAAUUUGAGCUUAUUGUAAAAAAAAAGUUUAUAAAUUUAUUGCCUGGUUUAGGCUUGAAAAUGGGAUAUAUGUUUUUCUCUGUAUGCUCCCACUCGGACUUUUACCGAAACAUAUAAGAUCUGUAAAAAGACAUCGUCGGGCAGGAACAAGGCGCCAUGGCAAAGAUUCAACUGACAGCUUCACUUUACAAAAAGGUGCACUUGGCUUGUGUUGGUAUCGGAUCCGAAGGGAUGAUUCAAAAUUAUUGCCAACAACAAAGCUAGGACUGUAAGACGGACAGGUUGGAUCUCAAGUUUUGUUGAGAUGUUUAAUGAAAUGGUGGUGUUUUAUAAAGAAAUUAUAAUACAUUGUUUAGAACUAAACUGGUUUAUGAUUCUGUUGGACUCGCACACACAUUAGAGGCCUGCAUUUAUUUAAUAAUUCCUGAAUUUAAUAUUUUUCUUAACUAUUUAAAACGAAAUGACUUGCGUGUUUGUUAAACUCGUGAUUUGAGAUUUUAAAACAUCAUAAUGGUACGUUUAUGAACAUAAAGAAGUCAAUAUAUAUCCGUUGAUUUUAAUACUUUAUUAAAGAACAAUUUGUAAAUCAUUUUUGUCAUAAACUGGUAAAAAGUCAAUGGUCUGUCAUACCAUGACACAUAAAGCAUGUAUCAUUAUUAUUGACAACUUUGACAAUUUUAAGUCUGAAAAAUAUCAUUUAUUCAUAUAUUUUUUACCUAAAAUAACAAUAUGAAAUAAAUCAGAAAACAA